GGGACAGGUUCUGGCCAGCCCUGCGGUGGCAGAGUAGGGAGCUGGGUACGCCUGAAACUGAAUUCAGAGCUCUCUGCUGCCUUUGCCUGCUCAGCAAGCCUAUCCUCACCUCGUGGGGAAUGGCUGCUUUCCUCCCUAUGGGACUACUUUUUUUCGACUUUAUUUCUUCCAGGAGAGAGGGGGAGAGGAGAGAGAGACAGAGACAGUCAACCCCAAUAGGACCUCAAAGCCACGAUCCACCACCAGGAUGAGUCCCAGCUCAGCGUGUGACCAACCUACUCAGGGAGGUUGCCAGAGUUCUUCAUACACCAUGCUCAGCGAGGCUGCGGGCGGACGUGAGAGAAAGCAUGGUCCGCAUUGCAGAGGGAGGCCCAUUCCAGUGCUGUCCCGUGGCUGACCCAGCCCAGCUUGCUUGGGCCGACCUCCCCCUCCUCUGGACCCCGUUGAUGAACCUGCCACGUUGGGGAAAUGUAGAGGUCGCUAACCCCAGACAGGCUUGGAGAAGUUCAAUCCAGGAGGAAUGGGGCUAGGAUGGAAACCCAGAUCUCUCUUUCCACCAGAGUGCAUGACCCAAGGAGUUUUGUCAUCAUUGGUGUUUUAUUUUUCUGGCGUCUUUACAUCUUGCCACCCGGAAGUGGGUGGGAUGCUGGGACAUCUUCAUGCUGGAUAUAUGCAUGGAUGAGCUAGAGAGAGAAAAAGAAAGAGUGAAAAAUCACAUC